AUAACAGUUCACCCAAAAUAUUUUUGCUACUAUCAGUUCGGUCAUUAAUUAUAAUUAAUGUCUAACUAUAAUUAAUUUCUAACUAUAAUUUGGCCAUUAACUUUUUUUCCUGCCCUGGAUGCACCGAUACCACUUUUUCCAGUACUCACCCGAUACCGAUACUUUUAUUUUUGGUACUUGCCGAUACCGAGUACCGUUACCGAUAUUUUAAUUGCAUUUAUUAAUUAUAAUUUUUUAAAUAUUGGGUACAGAAACCAAAAGAGUAUGCAUAAUGUUAGCUGGUUGACUUCAUUUAUUAAAUAGAUACAGUCAAACCAAAAUUUAUUCAGACACCUUCAACAUUUCACAUUAUCACAGUUUAUUCUCUAUAGUGUAGAAGAUGGUAAUAAAAUAUGACAAGAACUGUGUCAGAACAAAUUCAUCUUGAUAAUGUUAGAUAACGUUGAUAGAAAGGUAUGUAAUGGAUUACAAUCAACCAAAAAUUAUUCAGACAGUAUGACAGUAUUUACACAACUAUCAAUACUUAGUCGGGCAUGUUAUGUGGGAGUGUUUUAAUCUGUGUUUCAUUGCAGUUUCCCUGGUAGCUCUCGUGCAAUUAAUGGGUUAAUUGGAUCCACCUGAAGGGAGACACUUUAAAUCUAGGACACAUGCUCUUGCUCUUCUCUUUUUUCUCGUAUUUUUGUUUUGUGUCCUUUAUGUUGCAUCCCUAGAGCCAGGGUUGUAACAUAAUGGGGGCUCGUCCAAUUUGGUUUGUAAAAAGCAUUUGUUUCUUUUGAUAUUUUGGGGACUGUUUUUGUUUAUUCCUUUUGGUUGAGAGCAUUUGGUGAGUAUGGUUGUUUGAGUAUUUUUGAAUGAGUGGAAGAGGGAUGCGUAAGUUAGGGGAGUUAAGCAUUUUGAGGCACUUUUGUGUUUAUUUGGUCCAUGAUCCUAACUUUAAAGUGUUAGUAGUGUUUGUGAGAAGUUCCUUUGUGGACUUUAGUCAAGUCAAGUCAAGUCACUUUUAUUUAUAUAGCGCUUUAAACAAAAAAGAUUGCGUCAAAGCAACUGAACAACAUUAAUUAGGAAAACAGUGUGUCAAUAAUGCAAAAUGACAGUUAAAAGGCAGUUCAUCAUUGAAUUCAGUGAUGUCAUCAUCUCAGUUCAGUUUAAAUAGUAUCUGUGCAAUCAUUUGCAAUCAAGUCAACGAUAUCGCUGUAAAUGAAGUGUCCCCAACUAAGCAAGCCAGAGGCCACAGCGGCAAGGAACCAAAACUCCAUCGGUGACAGAAUGGAGAAAAAACCUUGGGAGAAACCAGGCUCAGUCGGGGGGCCAGUUCUCCUCUGACCAGACGAAACCAGCAGUUCAAUUCCAGGUUGCAGAAAAGUCAGAUUGUGCAGAAGAAUCAUCUGUUCCUGUGGUCUUGUCCCGGUGGUCGUCUGAGACAAGGUCUUUACAGGGGAUCUGUAUCUGGGGCUCUAGGUGUCCUGGUCUCCGCUGUCUUUCAGGGCUGUAGAGGUCCUUUCUAGGUGCUGAUCCACCAUCUGGGCUGGAUACAUACUGGAUCCGGGUGACUGCAGUGACCCUCUGACUUGGAUACAGACUGGAUCUGGUGGCUACGGUGACCUCGGAAUAAGAGAGAAACAAACUAAUAUGAGCGUAGAUGCCAUUCUUCUAACGAUGUAGCAAGUACACCGGGUGUUAUGGGAAGUGUUCCCGGUUCCGGUUUACCUAAUUAAUGCAGCCUAAAAAUCCUUUAACGGAUUUGGAUAUUAGAAGUGUAUUAGUAUGUUAUGUGUAAGCCAGGUGAAAGAGAAAGAG
ensembl:lncRNA